UACAGAGGAGCCAAGCGUUGUCCGGAUUGACUGGGCGUAAAGCGCACGCAGGCGGAUGCGCGCGUGGGGUGUGAAAUCUGGCCGCUUAACGGCCAGGCGCCAUCCCAUACGGCGCGUCUGGAGUGAUGCAGAGGUCGAUGGAAUUGCCGGUGUAGUGGUGAAAUGCGUAGAGAUCAGGAAGAACAUCGGUGGCGAAGGCGCUCUGCUGGACCAUAACUGACACUCAGGGACGAAAGCUAGGGGAGCGAAUGGG
rnacentral:rRNA from 1 species